ACGGCCUAGACGGAGAGGAACAUCGAUCGACACGGAGGGAAACAAUGUACUAGGAAAAGGGAAACAACGACCUACACGGAGCGGAACAACGACCUACACGAAAGAGAACAACGACCUAGACGAAGGGGAACAACGACCAACACAGAGGGGAACAAAUGUCCUAGAAAAAGGGAAACAACGACCUACACGGAGCGGAACAAACGACCUACACGAAAGGGAACAACGACCUAGAUGGAGGGGAACAAUGGCCUAGAAAAGGGAAACAACGAUCUACACGGAGCGGAACAACGACCUACACGAAGCGGAACAACGACCUACACGGAAGGGAACAACGAACUAGACGGAGGGGAACAAUGAUCGAUACGGAGGGGAACAACGACCUACACGGAGCGGAACAACGACCUACACAGAAGGGAACAACGGCCUAGGCGGAGGGGAACAGCGACCGACACGGAGGGGAACAAUGGCCUAGAAAAAGGGAAACAACGAUCUACACGGAGCGGAACAACGACCUACAUGGAAUAACGGCCUAGAUGGAAAAAAGAAAUAAAACAAAAAAAUAAAAAAUUAGAAAAGAAAAAUUAAUAAAAAAAUGUAAGAAAGAAGAAAUAAAAUAACAAGAAGUUGUACAUUUAUAAAAGAAUGUAUAGUAAGAAAGAAGAAAAAAGAAAAAAAUAAAGGAAAGAAGAAAUGAAACAAAGAUGAAUGAUAACAUGAAAAAGAAAAAGAAAUGAAAGAAGAACAAAAAAGAAAAAAAUAAAGACGUACAUGUAGUGGUAGAAUGAAAAAGGGAAGUCAACCAACGAAACCGCACAGGGAACAGGCAUGCACGUACGGGGAUUCAUUGCUUCAAGGCACAGCGGCCAGCCUGGCAGUUUGUGCGCUCGCUCAUGAAUCGUGAUCAACUCUGGCUCCCUCGUUCGCGAUUAACGGGCCAAGCCCACGGUAGGAAAGCUUCAGCGAACCGUAUGUACGGAGCGCGCGCGCGCUAGGGAGCAUUCUCCCCUUCAACCCGAGCAGCCCUGCAUACCCCUUCGCUCCUCCACUCUUCUUCCUGUUGUCGUCUUCUUCGGUAGAGGCACGAGCCUCUCGUGCUCGCCUUUCCCCGGUCGCUGUCUCCCCCACAACCACUCCCUCCACCUCUCUUUUAAUCCCCAUCCGAGCCACAGAAACCCUAGUGUUUCUCCUCCCUCGCGCCGCCGCCUCCCAUCUCUCCUCUUGUUUUGUUUCAUCUUCUCUGUGACCAACGAAGAACACUGCCACCAUCCUCCCCGCCAUGGCGCCGCCGCUACAGACCGCCCCUCGCCGAGCUAAAACCACCGUUAGAUGCGCCUCGUCGUUCUCUUCGUCUGGGUAUAAGGAAUCGAGCCGGGAGCCCUCUAAUCAAGCGCACGGUCGCCGAUUCUCCGCGCCGGUCGGUGUGCUUCUUCUUCGAUUCCGGCCGCCCUCGUCCUCCUCUGGCCAAACCGAGCUUACCUCCGGCUGUUCCGUGACCAGGCGCACCCUCGACGCUCUCGCGCUCGUCCUGUUUCGCACGCAGCCGUCAAGUUCUUCUUCAACCAGGGCCUCCGCCAUGAACGCCAUGCCUGAGCUCUGCCUCCGCUUGGUUCAACUUGCUCCGCACCUUCCUUUUGACACGAACCUAACAGCAGCUCAAUGAUCUAGCGCAGAGAGAAGCUUCUUUUUGCUUAGGGCCUCUCCAAUUUCAACAUCAGCAAGCAGCCUAGCUGAUCUGGCAGCACCGACGGGCCUCGGCCCAGAUCCUCCGUCCCUGAUCAACGCCCAGUGCGGCCCAGCCCAAUCUCACGCCAAAGCUGACCAGUUCCGGCCCAGGACAGCGCAGCAUUUGCUUCUUCCCGGAUAGGAUCACGAAGUGGUGCAGUGAGAUACGCCAAGUUCUCCGGAUGUCCCUCGGCAAGCUUUAACAGGCAAGC